rnacentral:rRNA from 1 species
UCAUCCAGUCAUACCCACCCUGUGCUCCCAUUAAAGCUCAUAACCUAAGCAAAGAUAGGCUGUGUCAGUACUUGAAUGGGAGACCUCCAACGUAUAGCAUAAGGGCUGCAUGAU